GAGUUUGAUCAUGGCUCAGAGCGAACGCUGGCGGCGUGCUUAACACAUGCAAGUCGAGUGCGCGGUGCCGUAGCAAUACGGUACUGGCGCACGGCGCACGGGUGCGUAACACGUGGGUAAUCUGCCCUCUGAUGGGGAAUAACCCCGCGAAAGCGGGGCUAAUACCGCAUAACAUUCCUUGGACUCCGGUUCGAGGAUUCAAAGGCGUAAGUCGUCGGAGGUGGAGCCCGCGCACGAUUAGCUAGUUGGUAGGGUAAUGGCCUACCAAGGCUUUGAUCGUUAGCUGGUCUGAGAGGAUGGCCAGCCACACUGGAACUGAGACACGGUCCAGACUCCUACGGGAGGCAGCAGUGGGGAAUCUUGCACAAUGGGCGAAAGCCCGAUGCAGCGACGCCGCGUGGGGGAUGAAGCUUCUCGGAGUGUAAACCCCUUUCGACCGGGACGAAUACCUCGCAAGAGGGGUGACGGUACCGGUAUAAGAAGCCCCGGCUAACUACGUGCCAGCAGCCGCGGUAAGACGUAGGGGGCCAGCGUUGCUCGGAAUUACUGGGUGUAAAGGGUUCGUAGGCGGUGUGGCAAGUCGGGAGUGAAAUCCCUGGGCUUAACUCAGGGGCUGCUUCCGAAACUGCCGUGCUAGAGUGUGGGAGAGGCGCGUGGAAUUGCAGGUGUAGCGGUGAAAUGCGUAGAUAUCUGCAGGAACACCCGUGGCGAAAGCGGCGCGCUGGACCACUACUGACGCUGAGGAACGAAAGCUAGGGGAGCAAACAGGAUUAGAUACCCUGGUAGUCCUAGCCCUAAACGAUCAGGACUUGGGGUGCCACCCGUUCGGGUGUCGUCCCGGAGCUAACGCGUUAAGUCCUGCACCUGGGGAGUACGGUCGCAAGACUGAACUCAAGGAAUUGACGGGGGCCCGCACAAGCGGUGGAACAUGUGGUUCAAUUCGACGCUACGCGAGGAACCUUACCUGGGCUCGAAAUGCUUCUGACCAGCUGUAGAAAAUAC
rnacentral:rRNA from 1 species